CUGUGACUGGUCCUUAAUUGUCAGCACAUGUUCUGAUAAACCACGUGCUCUGCGGCGGUGUUCCUUGAAGUGCAUAAAAUUGAACGUGUGUAGGCUGAGAAUGCAAUUGCUCUGUUUUUAAACUGACGUUUUUAUAUAGCCUAAUUUAGAGAUUAACCGUUUGACCAUGCCACCUAAAAAAGCAGCAGCCACGGAAGAAGUAACUUCAUCUUCUGAUGUGCCCAUAAAAUAUGAGAAAGUGUCGGGAAAAGCUAAAUCAGAAUCCAGCAAAGCAAUUGCUGUGGCACUGAAAACCCCUCUUCAUCCACCGACGAUGGUGAUGGUCAAAGAAGCGCUGAAGGAGUUGGACUCUCGAAAGGGGUCUCCUCGCAGGCCAUUCGCGGCUACAUAACAGAGACAUAUCCAUCUGUGGACCUGGUGAUGUUCAAGUACAUAAUACGCAAGACCCUGAACAAAGGAAUCGAGGACGAGGUAUUGGUGAGGCCACCUAACUCGAUUGCAAACGGCGCACAAUGGAGGUUUUGGAUCUUUUUUUAAUUCAGCAAAUUCCUAGUAGUAACCUCUUCAUGGUCGUCGUGGACAACAAGUGUGACUGCAGCUCUGCCCCCCUGGUUUCCAUGGAUCCCAUCGAGAUUAUGUAUAUCCUUUACUAAGCCUCAAUAAGAUUGAGGAGUUUGUAUUUUUAGUACAAAGCUUUUGUGAGUAUUUUUUUUGUGUAGAUGUUUAGUAGAUGGGUUUUGUAAGUUAACAGUAAGUGAACUCUGAACUCAGACUUUUGUUUUCUGAGAACGUGAACAACCUUCUUCAUUGUCAGAGGUAUUAAUACAUGUCUCAUACAUGUAGGUAUUUAUGAAGCGUGCGUUAUGGUUUUGUUUUCUCAUCAUGCUAGAAUGAUGUUGCAGAAAUGGUCACCACAGUGUCAGUUAAAUGUAUCUGAGGUUCGCUUCAUCAUCAGUAUUUCUAUCCUUAACCCCUCUGCAAACAAUGACUCUCUGAAAUGUGAUAGGCUGAAGUUUCAGAAGGACAGAAAGCGGCCAGAAUCGUGUCAUCCUUUCCAUCCCGAGGAGAAUGCCAUGGAGUGUGGAAGAGCAGCAGGCCUCUCUGCCCCCCUCACAGCAGCACUGCUCCCCCUACUGGCCACUCUCAUUAGCAGGUGACCACACGGCCCACCGUCCUGGACCCAACACAGGACCCAACACUGGAGAGAUUGAUAGACUGGCAUACCAUCAAAUGAUGAUAAUGCACAGGGAGCCUCGCCAAAAAGAAGAACUUGCUCAUAACUAACUGAGUUGCUUAUUACCAAUAGAGACUGGCAAUUAUAAAGCAUCUCCCUGACCAGCAGAGAAUUAAUGAAUUAGAAGACAUUGUUCAAGAGAAACAGAACAAUAUUCCAAGGGGAAAACCGUAUUGACAUUAGACUGAAAAAAUAUACCUGCGAGCAGCAAUGAGCGGGGUUCACAGGAUGACAGAAAAGACACAAGAUAAGUUGGAUAACAAAGCAAGCACUCUAUAAUGUAGGAACUAUCUUCCUUUAUGUGCAAUCAGUGAAAACAUUACCAUAUUGAUUUAAAUUUCAGUUGGUACACUCCACAUUAGCGUUCCAAAAUACUCCAGCACACUCUUACAGCUGUAAUACGCUGACUGUGCAGUGGCAAGACAGAAUUUUACAGAAUAAAAUAUCAACUUUUCGCUACGAGUGGCACAGUGGUCUAAGGCACUGCAUCGCAGUUCUAGCUGUGCCACUAGAGAUCC